GUAAAGGCAUAAAGGAGCUUGACUGCGAGACCUACAAGUCGAGCAGGGACGAAAGUCGGGCUUAGUGAUCCGGUGGUUCCGUAUGGAAGGGCCAUCGCUCAACGGAUAAAAGCUACCCUGGGGAUAACAGGCUUAUCUCCCCCAAGAGUUCACAUCGACGGGGAGGUUUGGCACCUCGAUGUCGGCUCAUCGCAUCCUGGGGCUGUAGUCGGUCCCAAGGGUUGGGCUGUUCGCCCAUUAAAGCGGUACGCGAGCUGGGUUCAGAACGUCGUGAGACAGUUCGGUCCCUAUCCGUCGCGGGCGUAGGAAAUUUGAGAGGAUCUGUCCUUAGUACGAGAGGACCGGGAUGGACAUACCGCUGGUGUACCAGUUGUUCCGCCAGGAGCAUCGCUGGGUAGCUAAGUAUGGAUGAGAUAAACGCUGAAAGCAUCUAAGUGCGAAACUCACCUCGAGAUAAGAUUUCCCAUUACGUAAGUAAGUAAGAUCCCUGAAAGAUGAUCAGGUAGAUAGGAUGGAAGUGGAAGUGCUGCGAGGCAUGGAGCGGACCAUUACUAAUCGAUCGAGGACUUAACCAAG
rnacentral:rRNA from 1 species